UACGGAGGGUGCAAGCGUUGCUCGGAAUUAUUGGGCGUAAAGGGUAGGUAGGUGGUCUCAUUUGUCUAGGGUGAAAGCCUUGAGCUUAACUCAAGAAGUGCCCUAGAAACGGUGAGACUGGAGUACUGGAGAGGGUCGUGGAAUUCCCGGUGUAGCGGUGAAAUGCGUAGAGAUCGGGAGGAACACCAGAGGCGAAAGCGGCGGCCUGGACAGUUACUGACACUCAACUACGAAAGCGUGGGGAGCAAACAGG
rnacentral:rRNA from 1 species